ncrna:unclassified sequences DTF3800-XI RNA
GGGGCUGACCGAAAGGUCCGGGUCCUACCAAGGCGGGGAUGUUCCCC